rnacentral:rRNA from 1 species
UACGUAGGGUGCGAGCGUUGUCCGGAGUUACUGGGCGUAAGCGUGCGUAGGCGGUUUUGUAAGUUUGGUGUGAAAUCUCCCGGCUCAACUGGGAGGGUGCGCCGAAACUGCAAGGCUGGAGUGUGGGAGAGGUAGGCGGAAUUCCUGGUGUAGCGGUGAAAUGCGUAGAUAUCAGGAGGACACCUGUGGUGUAGACGGCUUACUGGACCAUGACUGACGCUGAGGCACGAAAGCGUGGGGAGCAAACAGG